rnacentral:misc_RNA from 1 species
AGGACUACAGGGGUAUCUAAUCCUGUUUGCUACCCACACUUUCGAGCCUCAGCGUCAGUUACAGACCAGACAGCCGCCUUCGCCACUGGUGUUCUUCCAUAUAUCUACGCAUUUCACCGCUACACAUGGAGUUCCACUGUCCUCUUCUGCACUCAAGUCUCCCAGUUUCCAAUGCACUUCUUCGGUUGAGCCGAAGGCUUCCACAUUAGACUUAAAAGACCGCCUGCGCUCGCUUUACGCCCAAUAAAUCCGGAUAACGCUUGCCACCUACGUAUUACCGCGGCUGCUGGCACU